AGUGGCGGACGGGUGAGUAACACGUAGGUAACCUGCCCCGGAGCGGGGGAUAACAAUUGGAAACAGAUGCUAAUACCGCAUAACAACAAAAGCCACAUGGCUUUUGUUUGAAAGAUGGCUUUGGCUAUCACUCUGGGAUGGACCUGCGGUGCAUCAGCUAGUUGGUAAGGUAACGGCUUACCAAGGCGAUGAUGCAUUGCCGAGUUGAGAGACUGAUCGGCCACAAUGGGACUGAGACACGGUCCAUACUCCUACGGGAGGCAGCAGUAGGGAAUCUUCCACAAUGGGCGCAAGCCUGAUGGAGCAACACCGCGUGAGUGAAGAAGGGUUUCGGCUCGUAAAGCUCUGUUGUUGGAGACGAACGUGCGUGAGAGUAACUGUUCACGCAGUGACGGUAUCCAACCAGAAAGUCACGGCUAACUACGUGCCAGCGGCCGCGGUAAUACGUAGGUGGCAAGCGUUAUCCGGAUUUAUUGGGCGUAAAGCGAGCGCAGGCGGUUGCUUAGGUCUGAUGUGAAAGCCUUCGGCUUAACCGAAGAAGUGCAUCGGAAACCGGGCAACUUGAGUGCAGAAGAGGACAGUGGAACUCCAUGUGUAGCGGUGGAAUGCGUAGAUAUAUGGAAGAACACCAGUGGCGAAGGCGGCUGUCUGGUCUGCAACUGACGCUGAGGCUCGAAAGCAUGGGUAGCGAACAGGAUUAGAUACCCUGGUAGUCCAUGCCGUAAACGAUGAGUGCUAGGUGU
rnacentral:rRNA from 1 species